AAGGAUGGUAAUACCAGGACCUAUAGUUUGAACAAAAGUGCUUUGAGAUGUAAUCAUGAAAGCGCUGCACAGAUUGGAGGCAGGAUUGCUGUUAAUGCUGUAGGGACUAUAGCCAAAAGUGAUGUAGGCGAAGCUGCCAAAAGUGGGAGUGGAGAUGCCAGUGGCAUCGGUAGUGGAAAUACAACAAAGGUAAACAAACUUGCACAUCGAGAAACUGCCGUGACCAAGUUUCGUCUGAAGAGGAAGGGAAGAUCUCUCAAGAAAAAGGCUCAGACCCAGAAAAGGAGACUAGAAGAACAGCGGCCACAUGUUUGAGGACAUUUUGAUGGACAAACAGGGCCUGAUAAUGCAAACGGUGCAGGUGAAUUAUUAAAAUAUAUCUUGUGAUCAUAAUUUCCUACUUUUUUCUUUGCAAGAAACCACCCACUUGUGCAGGAACAUGUUUUUCUAGCAUUUGUGAUUAAUUCUAGAAUAAUGAUUGAAUCCUUGGAACAGUUUGAAGAAAUUUGAUUUUGGCCCAGCCUUUAGAUGAAUCGUUACUUUUUCAGCAACAA